rnacentral:rRNA from 1 species
UACGUAGGGUGCGAGCGUUAAUCGGAAUUACUGGGCGUAAAGGGCGCGUAGGCGGAUAGUUUAGUCAGAGGUGAAAGCCCAGGGCUCAACCUUGGAAUUGCCUUUGAUACUGGCUAUCUUGAGUUCGGGAGAGGUGAGUGGAAUGCCGAGUGUAGAGGUGAAAUUCGUAGAUAUUCGGCGGAACACCAGUGGCGAAGGCGACUCACUGGCCCGAUACUGACGCUGAGGCGCGAAAGCGUGGGGAGCAAACAGG